rnacentral:rRNA from 1 species
AACGAACGCUGGCGGCAGGCCUAACACAUGCAAGUCGAACGCCGUAGCAAUACGGAGUGGCAGACGGGUGAGUAACACGUGGGAACGUACCCUUCGGUUCGGGAGUAACUCAGGGAAACGUUAGAGCUAAUACCGGAUACGUCCGAGAGGAGAAAGAUUUAUUGCCGAGGGAUCGGCCCGCGUCUGAUUAGCUUGUUGGUGAGGUAACGGCUCACCAAGGCGACGAUCAGUAGCUGGUCUGAGAGGAUGAUCAGCCACAUUGGGAC